UGCGUAGGUAGCAAGCGUUGUUCGGAAUUAUUGGGCGUAAAGGGCGCGUAGGCGGCUUGUUAAGUCAGCUGUGAAAGCCCGGGGCUCAACCCCGGAAAGUCGGCUGAUACUGGCAGGCUAGAGUACGGAAGAGGUAGCUGGAAUUCCCGGUGUAGCGGUGAAAUGCGUAGAUAUGGGGAGGAACACCUGAGGCGAAGGCGGGCUACUGGGCCGAUACUGACGCUGAUGCGCGAGAGCCAGGGGAGCGAACGGG
rnacentral:rRNA from 1 species